rnacentral:rRNA from 1 species
AGUCGUACGCUUCUUUUUCCACCGGAGCUUGCUCCACCGGAAAAAGAGGAGUGGCGAACGGGUGAGUAACACGUGGGUAACCUGCCCAUCAGAAGGGGAUAACACUUGGAAACAGGUGCUAAUACCGUAUAACAAUCGAAACCGCAUGGUUUUGAUUUGAAAGGCGCUUUCGGGUGUCGCUGAUGGAUGGACCCGCGGUGCAUUAGCUAGUUGGUGAGGUAACGGCUCACCAAGGCCACGAUGCAUAGCCGACCUGAGAGGGUGAUCGGCCACAUUGGGACUGAGACACGGCCCAAACUCCUACGGGAGGCAGCAGUAGGGAAUCUUCGGCAAUGGACGAAAGUCUGACCGAGCAACGCCGCGUGAGUGAAGAAGGUUUUCGGAUUGUAAAACUCUGUUGUUAGAGAAGAACAAGGAUGAGAGUAACUGUUCAUCCCUUGACGGUAUCUAACCAGAAAGCCACGGCUAACUACGUGCCAGCAGCCGCGGUAAUACGUAGGUGGCAAGCGUUGUCCGGAUUUAUUGGGCGUAAAGCGAGCGCAGGCGGUUUCUUAAGUCUGAUGUGAAAGCCCCCGGCUCAACCGGGGAGGGUCAUUGGAAACUGGGAGACUUGAGUGCAGAAGAGGAGAGUGGAAUUCCAUGUGUAGCGGUGAAAUGCGUAGAUAUAUGGAGGAACACCAGUGGCGAAGGCGGCUCUCUGGUCUGUAACUGACGCUGAGGCUCGAAAGCGUGGGGAGCAAACAGGAUUAGAUACCCUGGUAGUCCACGCCGUAAACGAUGAGUGCUAAGUGUUGGA